rnacentral:rRNA from 1 species
AGCGAACGCUGGCGGCAGGCCUAACACAUGCAAGUCGAACGGGUGUAGCAAUACAUCAGUGGCGCACGGGAGAGUAACGCGUGGGAACCUACCUUUUAGUUCGGAAUAACGUCGGGAAACUGACGCUAAUACCGGAUAAGCCCUACGGGGGAAAGAUUUAUCGCCGAAAGAUGGGCCCGCGUUAGAUUAGCUUGUUGGUGAGGUAACGGCUCACCAAGGCUACGAUCUAUAGCUGGUCUAAGAGGAUGAUCAGCCUCACUGGGACUGAGACACGGCCCAGACUCCUACGGGAGGCAGCAGUGGGGAAUAUUGGACAAUGGGGGCAACCCUGAUCCAGCCAUGCCGCGUGAAUGAUGAAGGCCUUCGGGUUGUAAAGUUCUUUUGGCGGGGACGAUGAUGACGGUACCCGCAGAAUAAGCUCCGGCUAACUUCGUGCCAGCAGCCGCCGUAA